rnacentral:rRNA from 1 species
CAGCCGCCGCGGUAAUACGAAGGGGGCUAGCGUUGCUCGGAAUGACUGGGCGUAAAGGGCGCGUAGGCGGCGGCCAAAGUCAGGCGUGAAAUUCCUGGGCUCAACCUGGGGGCUGCGCUUGAUACUUGGUUGCUUGAGUGGGGAAGAGGGUCGUGGAAUUCCCAGUGUAGAGGCGAAAUUCGUAGAUAUUCGGAAGAACACCAGUGGCGAAGGCGACAUACUGGAUCAUUACUGACGCUGAGGCUCGAAAGCGUGGGGAGCAAACAGGAUUAGAUACCCGUGUAGUCCCUGUCUCUUAUAC